AUAGGUAAUUAUGUCUUCAUACUAUGGGACACUUCCCUCAGAUGCAUCCUCUAAACUGGAAAGAGUUAAUUUCCCAAAGCUUAAACUGGUUGGCUUAGGAUUGGGCUCAGGGGAAGAGAACCCAGAAACUCAACAUGCUGACAAAAGGGUAAAGUUUUUUACCAGUCGGAUUUUUGGCCUCCCUCUCUCUGUGAAAAACAGUAAAAGGUCUCAGUAUUUUUAAAUUUUCCUCACCCCUCCCCGUGUUUCAUUUUGACACGUUUUCUAAUAACCCAGUGUGUCUUUUCUUGCCUUCAAGCCAUCAAACUCCAAACGGUCAUGCAACUGGAGCCUCCGGCGAUGGUCCCUUUUGCCAGGGACCCUGAGAUAGGCCUCCGAGGGAGCUCUGACUGCCAUUUCCCCAAAACAGCCCCCACUAUCAGCAGGAAACAGCUGCCUGAGCAAUUGUGUCUGGUUCGUGAAGUGAGUUCCCAUUAUCAUCCAAUUGGCCCUGAUCUCACAUCCCAAGCCCAUGGAUCAUACCACAUUGUUCUUUCUGCAAAACAGUUGAGAAUUACCAGUAAUUGGGACUGUUUACAUUCAAUGCCAUCAUGACAGAAGCAGCUUUAUUAUAUUGCAGAGGAAUGAUUAAUACAUGAUGGGGAUUAAAGAUUGCAUUGCAGCAGGCCAAGGCAAGAGGCAAUAAAGAUUAAUAAUUUUAGAUUUCCACUGUAGCAAGAACGGGAAAAAAGUGUCAUCUGAAAUGCCAACUUCAAGCAAUUGCAGUGAUUUCCUGGAACCCUACGUGACAAGUCCAGAUUCAAAAAAAAAAACUGUGAGGAUCCGUUAGCAGUGUUUACGAUGGGCAAGUCUUGUGAUGGGGUUACCCUCCUUGCAUUAGAAUUUGCAGUCUUCUAUUAGGCCAUUAGUCUUUGAGAGCAAAAACUGUAUGUAUCUCAUUUUUGUAGCCCAAGUGCCAGGCACACAGUAGCUGCUCCAAAAGCAAAGGACAUCGAGUCUGAAUCAAGCUGCUUGGGUUUAAUGGCUGUCUUUGUCGCUUACUAGCUGAGUGAACUCGUCAUGUUUAUAACUUAAUUGUGGUUCAGUUUCCUUCUCUACAGAAAAGGCAUGAGUUCCUCAUUCAUAGAGUUAUAAUAAGGGUUAAUUAAAGUCAUGCAUAUCCAAAGCUUAGCAUAGUACCUGGGACAUAGUAAAUACUUGAGGAAUGCAGGUAUAAAUUAACAUAGGAGUGAAUAACAUUGCAAGGAAACAGAGAAAAGGAUCCUAAACAGUCCUGCUGGUAUAUUCAUUUAUGAUUCAAAAAUCCUCAAUUGUUAAAAUUUGGGUCAGAACCUUAUUAUUCCAGGUUGUUGGUAAAUGUGAGGACUCUUCUGGGUUUGGAAGUAGAACAAUAAAUUGAGAGGCCAAAGAAGCUGCAAAUAAAAAUUGGCUUCUCUGGGAAAAUGAUUUUCACAUUUAUACCUACCUGCCUUUUGUCCUCCCAUGCAUUUCUCCAGAUGUGAUGCCAAUGUGAUACAAUCGUUGUUUAUUCCUUCUCUGACAAUAGCAAGGUAGAGUGAGCCUUCCAGUGAGGGCUUAAAAUAUAGCUCCAGAGACAUUCACCACUACUUCCUGCCUCCAUGGUUACACAUUCCCUUUCACAAAUAAAACAUGGCCUCAUGCUUCAUGCUGAGCUUGCAUUUUACAUACAUCAUUUAGAUCUUCUCUGCAAACCUAUGAAGUGGGCAUGGUAAUCUUCCUUUACAAAUAGAGAAACUGAGGCCUAAGAUGGGGAGCAAUUUCCCUUUAAAAAACUUUUAUUGUCAAGGUCCAAAUGGCUGAUGAUUCAUGCCAUAGACAUCCCAAACCAGCUGGUAGGCAGAGCUCUUGGCAUUCCAAAUGGAAACGUGGAACAGACACAGAUCACCUGGCCACACAGACCUCAGCUCUAAAGACAGAUGACUACUUACCUGUUAAAGUUCCCUGUGCACUAUUUUUUAAAAUCUAGAGAUAGAUAAUAAAUAGGUUAAGUUACAUUUUAAAUUAGCCCAUGAACAUUUGAGAACAGUAUCAUUUUUAGAAUCUUAAUUCUGAGAUUCACUGUUGGGCUUAAGUCACUGCUUCUGUGAUGGUUAGUUUUGGGUGUGAACUUGACUGUAUUAAGGGAUACUUAUCUGGGAAAGCAUUAUUUACUCUCCAUGCUUCAGUAGAUACUGAGCCCUUCCCUUUUCUGCUGAAAGGGAAAUCCAGGUGGCUUGGCGUUUGAUUAGAAUAAUUGGGCUGCCCCAGGUGUGUCCGUGAGGGUGCUUCUGAGGGAAACUGGGACUAAAUGAAGAAGAUCCGCCCUCCAUAUGGGCAGGCACUAUUCCAAUUGGCUGGGGGCCCCAGAUAGAACAAAAAGGCAGAUAAAGGGCAGUCUCCCUGGAGAAGAGACCUGCCUGUAGACAGACAUCAGAACUCCAGGUUCUCCAGCCUUUGGGCUCCAGGACUCACACCAAUGCGCCACCGGGCUCUCUGACCUUUAGCUUUGGACUGAGAAUUACACCAUAGAAUGCCCUGGUUCUGAGGCCUUCAAACUCAGACUGAGCCACGCUACAGGCUUUCCGGAUUGUCCAGCAUACAGAAGGUCUGUUGUGGGAUUUCUCAGCCUCCAUGAGUAAGUAAGAAAAUUGCCUCGAAUAAAUCCUUUUUCAUAUGUCUCUCU
rnacentral:antisense_RNA from 1 species